rnacentral:rRNA from 1 species
CCUACGGGGGGCAGCAGUGAGGAAUAUUGGUCAAUGGCCGCAGGGCUGAACCAGCCAAGUCGCGUGAGGGAUGACGGUCCUAUGGAUUGUAAACCUCUUUUGUCAGGGAGCAAAGGGCGCCACGUGUGGCGCUUUGCGAGUACCUGAAGAAAAAGCAUCGGCUAACUCCGUGCCAGCAGCCGCGGUAAUACGGAGGAUGCGAGCGUUAUCCGGAUUUAUUGGGUUUAAAGGGUGCGCAGGCGGCCUGUUAAGUCAGCGGUAAAAGCCAGGGGCUCAACCCCGGCGAGCCGUUGAAACUGGCGGGG